rnacentral:rRNA from 1 species
UCUUUGUGGUGUGACUGCGUACCUUUUGUAUAAUGGGUCAACGACUUACAUUCAGUAGCGAGCUUAACCGAGUAGGGGAGGCGUAGGGAAACCGAGUCUUAAUAGGGCGACUAGUUGCUGGGUGUAGACCCGAAACUGAGUGAUCUAUCCAUGGCCAGGAUGAAGGUGCGGUAAAACGCAUUGGAGGUCCGAACCCACGCAUGUUGCAAAAUGCGGGGAUGAGCUGUGGAUAGGGGUGAAAGGCUAAACAAACUCGGAGAUAGCUGGUUCUCCCCGAAAACUAUUUAGGUAGUGCCUCGAGUAUGAGACUGAUGGGGGUAAAGCACUGUUAUGGCUAGGGGGUUAUUGCAACUUACCAACCCAUGGCAAACUAAGAAUACCAUCAAGUUGCUCCUCGGGAGACAGACAUCGGGUGCUAACGUCCGGUGUCAAGAGGGAAACAACCCAGACCGCCAGCUAAGGUCCCAAAUGAUAGAUUAAGUGGUAAACGAAGUGGGAAGGCACAGACAGCCAGGAUGUUGGCUUAGAAGCAGCCAUCAUUUAAAGAAAGCGUAAUAGCUCACUGGUCGAGUUUUCCUGCGCGGAAGAUGUAACGGGGCUCAAAUCUAUAACCGAAGCUGCGGAUAUACUUUUGUAUAUGGUAGGGGAGCGUUCUGUAAGCCUGUGAAGGUGACUUGUAAAGGUUGCUGGAGGUAUCAGAAGUGCGAAUGUUGACAUGAGUAGCGAUAAAGCGGGUGAAAAGCCCGCUCGCCGAAAGCCCAAGGUUUCCUACGCAACGUUCAUCGGCGUAGGGUGAGUCGGUCCCUAAGGCGAGGCAGAAAUGCGUAGUCGAUGGGAAACAGGUUAAUAUUCCUGUACUUUGAUUCAAUGCGAUGUGGGGACGGAGAAGGUUAGGUUAGCAAACUGUUGGAAUAGUUUGUUUAAGCCAGUAGGUGGAAAGAGUAGGCAAAUCCGCUCUUUCUUAACACCGAGACGUGAUGACGAGUGUCUACGGACAUGAAGUGACCAAUACCACGCUUCCAGGAAAAGCCACUAAGCUUCAGUUGAAUCAGAACCGUACCGCAAACCGACACAGGUGGGCAGGAUGAGAAUUCUAAGGCGCUUGAGAGAACUCGGGAGAAGGAACUCGGCAAAUUGAUACCGUAACUUCGGGAGAAGGUAUGCCCUCUAAUGUUAAGGACUUGCUCCGUAAGCAUCUGAGGGUCGCAGAGAAUCGGUGGCUGCGACUGUUUAUUAAAAACACAGCACUCUGCUAACACGAAAGUGGACGUAUAGGGUGUGACGCCUGCCCGGUGCUGGAAGGUUAAUUGAAGAUGUGCAAGCAUCGGAUCGAAGCCCCAGUAAACGGCGGCCGUAACUAUAACGGUCCUAAGGUAGCGAAAUUCCUUGUCGGGUAAGUUCCGACCCGCACGAAUGGCGUAACGAUGGCCACACUGUCUCCUCCCGAGACUCAGCGAAGUUGAAAUGGUUGUGAAGAUGCAAUCUCCCCGCUGCUAGACGGAAAGACCCCGUGAACCUUUACUGUAGCUUUGCAUUGGACUUUGAAGUCACUUGUGUAGGAUAGGUGGGAGGCUUUGAAGCAGAGACGCCAGUCUCUGUGGAGCCGUCCUUGAAAUACCACCCUGGUGACUUUGAGGUUCUAACCCAGACCCGUUAUCCGGGUCGGGGACCGUGCAUGGUAGGCAGUUUGACUGGGGCGGUCUCCUCCCAAAGAGUAACGGAGGAGUUCGAAGGUUACCUAGGUCCGGUCGGAAAUCGGACUGAUAGUGCAAUGGCAAAAGGUAGCUUAACUGCGAGACCGACAAGUCGAGCAGGUGCGAAAGCAGGACAUAGUGAUCCGGUGGUUCUGAAUGGAAGGGCCAUCGCUCAACGGAUAAAAGGUACUCCGGGGAUAACAGGCUGAUUCCGCCCAAGAGUCCAUAUCGACGGCGGAGUUUGGCACCUCGAUGUCGGCUCAUCACAUCCUGGGGCUGUAGUCGGUCCCAAGGGUAUGGCUGUUCGCCAUUUAAAGUGGUACGUGAGCUGGGUUUAAAACGUCGUGAGACAGUUUGGUCCCUAUCUGCAG